rnacentral:lncRNA from 1 species
CCCCUUAUUUUUUCUAUUUUUAUUGGUAUUUUAUUCCUCUAGGUGUAAUGGAAAGGUUUAACUAGACAACAUCCUCUAGUAGACUUACGUAAUGACAUCGGGGAACCGAGAGUUCGGGUUAUUUCAUGUCCCCACCGGAGACGAGACAAAGAAGUAGUAAAAAAAAAGAAAAAUGAAUGAAAAUGAAGGGAGGAAGUAGUGAAAGACUAGUUAAA